rnacentral:rRNA from 1 species
GAAUAUUGGACAAUGGGGGGAACCCUGAUCCAGCCAUGCCGCGUGUGUGAAGAAGGCCUUUUGGUUGUAAAGCACUGUAAGCGAGGAGGAGGCUACUCUAGUUAAUACCUAGGGAUAGUGGACGUUACUCGCAGAAUAAGCCCCGGCUAACUCUGUGCCCGCCGCCGCGGUAAUACAGAGGGUGCAAGCGUUAAUCGGAUGUACUGGGCGUAAAGCGCGCGUAUGUGGCCAAUUAAGUCACAUGUGAAAUCCCCGAGCUUAGCGUGGGAAUUGCAUUCGAUACUGGUUGGCUAGAGUAUGGGAGAGGAUGGUAGAAUUCCAGGUGUAGCGGUGAAAUGCGUAGAGAUCUGGAGGAAUACCGAUGGCGAAGGCAGCCAUCUGGCCUAAUACUGACACUGAGGUGCGAAAGCAUGGGGAGCAAACA